rnacentral:rRNA from 1 species
GGUGUAGGUGGCUUUGUAAGUCAGGAGUGAAAGCCCUAGGCUCAACCUAGGAAGUGCUUUUGAUACUGCGAAGCUUGAGUGUGGGAGAGGAUCGUGGAAUUCCAGGUGUAGUGGUGAAAUACGUAGAUAUCUGGAGGAACACCGGUGGCGAAGGCGGCGAUCUGGCCCAACACUGACACUCAGACCCGAAAGUGCGGGGAUCAAACA